GUAGUCUGCAACCCGACUACACGAAGCCGGAAUCGCUAGUAAUCGCAGAUCAGAAUGCUGCGGUGAAUACGUUCCCGGGUCUUGUACACACCGCCCGUCACACCAUGGGAGUUGGGGAUACCCGAAGUCAGUGACCCAACCGUAAGGAGGGAGCUGCCGAAGGUGGAGCCGGUAACUGGGGUGAAGUCGUAACAAGGUACC
rnacentral:rRNA from 1 species